AGCGAACGCUGGCGGCAGGCUUAACACAUGCAAGUCGAGCGGGCGUAGCAAUACGUCAGCGGCAGACGGGCGAGUAACGCGUGGGAACGUACCUUUUGGUUCGGAACAACACAGGGAAACUUGUGCUAAUACCGGAUAAGCCCUUACGGGGAAAGAUUUAUCGCCGAAAGAUCGGCCCGCGUCUGAUUAGCUAGUUGGUGAGGUAACGGCUCACCAAGGCGACGACGGGUAGCCGGCCUGAGAGGGGCGACCGGCCACACUGGGACUGAGACACGGCCCAGACUCCUACGGGAGGCAGCAGUGGGGAAUUGUUCACAAUGGGCGCAAGCCUGAUGACGCAACGCCGCGUGGGGGAGUGAAGGUCC
rnacentral:rRNA from 1 species